rnacentral:rRNA from 1 species
CCUACGGGUGGCUGCAGUGGGGAAUAUUGGACAAUGGGCGAAAGCCUGAUCCAGCCAUGCCGCGUGUGUGAAGAAGGCCUUCGGGUUGUAAAGCACUUUCAGUGGGGAAGAAAGCCUUGGGGCUAAUACCCUCGAGGAAGGACAUCACCCACAGAAGAAGCACCGGCUAACUCCGUGCACAGCAGCCGCGGUAAUACGGAGGGUGCGAGCGUUAAUCGGAAUUACUGGGCGUAAAGCGCGCGUAGGCGGUCUGAUAAGCCGGUUGUGAAAGCCCCGGGCUCAACCUGGGAACGGCAUCCGGAACUGUCAGGCUAGAGUGCAGGAGAGGAAGGUAGAAUUCCCGGUGUAGCGGUGAAAUGCGUAGAGAUCGGGAGGAAUACCAGUGGCCAAGGCGGCCUUCUGGACUGACACUGACGCUGAGGUGCGAAAGCGUGGGUAGCAAACAGGAUUAGAUACCCUGGUAGUC